rnacentral:lncRNA from 10 species
GGGAGACUAGGGCCUCCGCUGGCGGCGGGAGCGGGACGGGCGGAGGAAUGCGAGCUGAGGAACGGAAUCAGGUUCUAAGAGUGUUGCUCUCUGUUUCCCUCUCACUUGAAUUGCUCAUCCGAAAAUCCUCAAGAUCUGGGAGCCGGGUGGACCAGGAGAUUCUGAAAUUAUAGGCAAAAUCUUGUAUUUGCCUUUACCUAGAUUUUGAGCACAAAAGGACCCUUGCCCUUUACAAUAUUUUCUAAGAGGCCUCUCGGAUUUCCUCAUCACCAACCCCAACCAGGUUACUAACUCAGGGAUUCCAGGGACUAACAGUAAGCCAUCGGAGAGACCAUCAAAUCCCACCCCCUCAUUUGACAGACAGGAAAAGGAAAGCCUGCAGAAGACAGGUGGCUUGCCAGAGAUCACUCGCAGAAACAGGAACUAUGUGUCCCAGGCUGGUCUCAAAAUCUUGAGCUCAAGUGAUCUUCCUGACCCAGCCUCCCAAAUCGCUGGGAUUACAGGUGUGAGCCACCAUGCCUGGCCUGAAAAUAGAAUAUUUGGAAAUAAAAUGAUAAAUUCAAUAAAUGAAAUCCCCAAGAUUGGAGGAGACCCUAAACUGAAUGAAAACAGAAAUUAACUCAUGUUACAAAUGAACAACAAAACUGUACUGAAGGAGAAGUGGUAUGGGAAUAGCAAUUAUGACAUUAUAUUGUGCAUAUUAUAGAAUUAAGCAAAUGACAUAUAAAAGAAUGUGGAAGCUAGAGUUCUCACUGUAGGAAAAAAGUAGAUUUAAAUAUGAAUUAGGGAAUACAAAGGAACCUUAGAUGGGUGGAACUGGUGUUAGAGGCAUCAGUAUAAACCCAUAACUUCAUAUACAUUUGUAGAGAUAGAGCUAGAGGUUUGGCCUCUGUGUGUUGAAGGCUUAGAAGCAAUAACACAAUGUAACAAUGAGCAGGCUUGGUACCAAGAUCUUGGUUUCUAAAUAUUAUUCCUCACAACAAAGAAACAGCUUCUUAGAGAAAUGGAUGACUUCAGGGCUGGAACAAGGAAAGUAUAAGCUAAGCUUAAAAUAUCCUAUUGUGAUAGAAAUUAAGGAAGUCCCCUGCCACCCCCAACACCCCAGCAAAAUGAUGGGAAUAUGUCAAAAAACACAGGAGGAAGUUCCAAUUAUGGCUGAGUAAUUCCCAUCACACCAAGUCUUCUGUAAAUAAGAAUGAUAUACUCAGAGCAAAAUAUUAAAGAACAAACAAAAACUACCUGAAGGCAUUAGCAAACAACAGGAGGAAUAUACUGCACAGAGGUGGAUACCUGGAAGAGAAGAGGACUGAAUGGGUUUCCUGUGUUUUUACAGCUUUUAGUCUAAGGGAAGUCCAAAGUCUGCAAAGUGAGUGGUUAAAACAAAGCUGGGGGUAGUGGUGUGCGCCUGUAGUCUCACCUACUCAGAAGGCUGACGUGUGAGGAAACCGUGAGCACAGGAGUUCAAGGCUGUAGAGCACUAAGAUUGUGCCUGUGAAUACCCACUGUAUUCCAACCUAGGCAACACAGUAAGACCUCAUCUCU